rnacentral:rRNA from 1 species
AUUUUAUAGUGAAACUGCGAAUGGCUCAUUAAAUCAGUUAUAAUAUACCUGAUAAUUCUAUACCAGUGGAUAACCGUGGUAAUUCUAUGGCUAAUACAUACGUGAAAGGGCUAUGCUAUGCAUAGCCUGUAGUUAUUAGGUACAAAACCAAUAGUGGGCAACCGCUUUUUGGUGAUUCAUAGUAAACUUAUUGAUCGUUGUCUUUGACGACGUAUCAGUCUAAUUUCUGCCCUAUCAACUGUCGAUGGUAAGGUAGUGGCUUACCAUGGUUGUAACGGGUGACGGGGAAUAAGGGUUCUAUUCCGGAGAGGGAGCCUGAGAAACGGCUACCACAUCCAAGGAAGGCAGCAGGCGCGCAAAUUACCCAAUCCUGAUACAGGGAGGUAGUGACAAUAAAUAACAAUCCAGGGCCCUUUAGGGUCAUGGAAUUGGAAUGAAUACAAAUUAAAACUCUUAAUGAGGAACCAUUGGAGGGUAAGUCUGGUGCCAGCAGCCGCGGUAAUUCCAGCUCCAAUAGCGUAUAUUAAAGUUGUUGCAGUUAAAACGCCCGUAGUCUAACUUUUGGAAGUAAGGGAAUUUAGGGGGAUAGUUGGCCUUGGUUAACUAUUUUUCUGGAUUUCUGAGCUUUCAGAUUUAAUUUCUAGCCUUCGGGUCUAUGAGUAACUUCACUGUUAUGAGUAGAUCAUCUCCCUUAACUGGGUGGGCUAGAAAUGAUUACUUUGAAAAAAUUAGAGUGUUCAAAGCAAGCUUUUUAAGCUGAAUAUAUUAGCAUAGAAUAAUAAAAUAGGAUUUUGGUCUUAUUUUGUUGGUUUUAAUACCAAAAAAAUGAUGAAUAGGUUUGGUUGGGGAUAUUAGUAUUUAAUAGCUAGAGGUGAAAUUCUUGGAUUUAUGAAAGACUAACUUCUGCGAAAGCAUUUAUCAAGGACAAACUCAUUGAUCAAGGACGAAAGUUGGGGGAUCGAAGAUGAUUAGAUACCGUCGUAGUCUCAACCAUAAACUAUGCCAACUAGGGAUUGGGCUCAAUUUUAUUGAGCUCAGCACCUUGUGUGAAAACAAAGUUUU